AUCUUUCGGGAUCUUGAGAGCGGCGUACGGGUGCGGAACACGUGUGCAACCUGCCUUUAUCUGGGGGAUAGCCUUUCGAAAGGAAGAUUAAUACCCCAUAAUAUAUUGAAUGGCAUCAUUUGAUAUUGAAAACUCCGGUGGAUAGAGAUGGGCACGCGCAAGAUUAGAUAGUUGGUGAGGUAACGGCUCACCAAGUCAGCGAUCUUUAGGGGGCCUGAGAGGGUGAUCCCCCACACUGGUACUGAGACACGGACCAGACUCCUACGGGAGGCAGCAGUGAGGAAUAUUGGACAAUGGGUGAGAGCCUGAUCCAGCCAUCCCGCGUGAAGGACGACGGCCCUAUGGGUUGUAAACUUCUUUUGUAUAGGGAUAAACCUACCCUCGUGAGGGUAGCUGAAGGUACUAUACGAAUAAGCACCGGCUAACUCCGUGCCAGCAGCCGCGGUAAUACGGAGGGUGCAAGCGUUAUCCGGAUUUAUUGGGUUUAAAGGGUCCGUAGGCUGAUUUGUAAGUCAGUGGUGAAAUCUCACAGCUUAACUGUGAAACUGCCAUUGAUACUGCAAGUCUUGAGUGUUGUUGAAGUAGCUGGAAUAAGUAGUGUAGCGGUGAAAUGCAUAGAUAUUACUUAGAACACCAAUUGCGAAGGCAGGUUACUAAGCAACAACUGACGCUGAUGGACGAAAGCGUGGGGAGCGAACAGGAUUAGAUACCCUGGUAGUCCACGCCGUAAACGAUGCUAACUCGUUUUUGGGCUUUUGGGUUCAGAGACUAAGCGAAAGUGAUAAGUUAGCCACCUGGGGAGUACGAACGCAAGUUUGAAACUCAAAGGAAUUGACGGGGGCCCGCACAAGCGGUGGAUUAUGUGGUUUAAUUCGAUGAUACGCGAGGAACCUUACCAAGGCUUAAAUGGGAAAUGACAGGCUUAGAAAUAGGCUUUUCUUCGGACAUUUUUCAAGGUGCUGCAUGGUUGUCGUCAGCUCGUGCCGUGAGGUGUUAGGUUAAGUCCUGCAACGAGCGCAACCCCUGUCACUAGUUGCCAUCAUUAAGUUGGGGACUCUAGUGAGACUGCCUACGCAAGUAGAGAGGAAGGUGGGGAUGACGUCAAAUCAUCACGGCCCUUACGCCUUGGGCCACACACGUAAUACAAUGGCCGGUACAGAGGGCAGCUACACUGCGAAGUGAUGCAAAUCUCGAAAGCCGGUCUCAGUUCGGAUUGGAGUCUGCAACUCGACUCUAUGAAGCUGGAAUCGCUAGUAAUCGCGCAUCAGCCAUGGCGCGGUGAAUACGUUCCCGGGCCUUGUACACACCGCCCGUCAAGCCAUGGAAGUCUGGGGUACCUGAAGU
rnacentral:rRNA from 1 species